UCGUUUUUGUCCCGACCUGUUGAUUGUAGCUCUUUCAGGUGUUCUCCUUUUGUUCCUUCUUUACCUACUCCCCCACCACCCUCACCACCGGUGUUCCCCUCUCCACCCCCGACACCGGUUUACUCACCUCCACCGGUGUUCUCGCCUCCGCCACCGGUGCUCUCUUCCCCACCACCACCAUCACCGCCACCGCCAUCUCCUUCGCCUCCACCACCUCCAGUUUACUCCCCUCCUCCACCUCCACCAGUUUACUCACCUCCACCACCCCCUCCUCCCCCACCGCCACCACCACCUGUUUAUUUUCCGCCACCACCUCCACCUUCACCACCACCACCGUCUCCCCCUCCACCCUCACCCCCACCACCUUCUCCAUCACCGCCUCCCCCUCCCUCGCCACCACCACCGGUAUUAUCGCCCCCGCCUCCAGUUUAUUGCGUCCGUUCCCCACCACCGCCACCGCCAAAUUCUCCCCCGCCUCCCAUUUAUUCUCCACCACCACCUCCAGUUCAUUCACCGCCCCCACCAAGUCCUUACUAUAGUUCACCACCGCCCCCGCCGCCACAUCAUUCACCUCCACCACCUCCCCACUCGCCACCCCCGCCUCCACCUAUCUAUCCAUACGCAUCACCGCCACCGCCACCCGUGCAUUCCCCACCACCACCUGUCCAUUCUCCACCACCUCCAUGCAUAGAACCGCCUCCUCCUUCUCCACCACCCCCAUCACCACCUCCAUGCAUAGAACCGCCUCCUCCUCCUUCUCCACCACCAUGUGUAGAAUAUUCGCCACCUCCACCAUCACCACACUCACCACCGCCACCACCAGUUCAUUACUUGCCUCCACCAUCACCAUCACCCCCACCACCACCUGUGUAUGCUUCUCCGCCACCUCCACCAUCUCUGCCUCCCCCAGUUUA
rnacentral:lncRNA from 1 species